rnacentral:rRNA from 1 species
UACGUAGGUGACAAGCGUUGUCCGGAUUUAUUGGGCGUAAAGAGCGUGUAGGCGGCUAGGUAGGUGGGUUGUGAAAACUGGAGGCUCAACCUCCAGACGUCGACCCAAACCCCCUGGCUAGAGUCCGGAAGAGGAGAGUGGAAUUCCUGGUGUAGCGGUGAAAUGCGCAGAUAUCAGGAAGAACACCCGUGGCGAAGGCGGCUCUCUGGGACGGUACUGACGCUGAGACGCGAAAGCGUGGGGAGCGAACAGG